GAGCCAGUGGUGAAAUCCUCCGUGGUUUGCCACCCGUUUGCUGCCUAUGCAUGGACAGUGCGCACCAAACGCAAGCUUUGCGCAGAAAAAGGAGGCUUAAGAAGUGGUGGGUUGCUACCGGUUUGCCCGAUUUGGGCGAACCAGUAGCAGCAGCGAUGGGAGGCUCCACCCACAUGCCCAGACAUCAUCAAAUACGCUCUGCGCAUGCGCAGAAGGGGCGCACAUACGAGCGAACCAGUAGCAAAGAAUAACAGAAUGACAUAGUUGGAAGGGGCCUUGGAGGUCUUCUAGUCAACCCCAAAGCUCAAGCAAGAGACCCUAUAACAUUUUGGACAAAUGGCUGUCCAGUUUCUUCUUAAAAACCUCCAGUGAAAGAGCAUCCACAACUUCUGAAGAUUUGAACAAUUCAGAGGAUAUGUUAUCAGUCCUUGGCUUUUGCCUUUGGGGAUUGCACUUUUUGGGUGAAGGAGGAAAGUGCAAAAGUUGGCUUGAAACUCAACAUUAAGAAAACUAAUAUCAUGACAUCCAGCCCUCUCAAUGCCUGGUAAAUAGAUGGGGAAGAAAUGGAGGUAGUGACAGAUUUUAUUUUCCUGGGCUCCAAGAUCAUCGCAGAUGGGCACUGCAGCCAAGAAAUUAAAAGAUGCUUGCUCCUGGGGAGGAAAGCUAUGGCAAAGCUAGAGAGCAUACUAAAAAGCAGAGACAUCACCCUGCCAACGAAAGUGCAUAUAGUCAAGGCUAUGGUUUUCCAGUUGCAAUGUAUGGCUGUAAAAGUUGGACCGUAAGAAAGGCUGAGCACCAAAGAAUUGAGGCCUUUGAACUAUGGUGCUGGAGAAGACUCCUGCGAGUCCCUUGGACUGCAAGGCGAUCAAACCGACGCAGCCAUCAACGUAUUUCCUUUUGGUGUAAGCAACACUGAGCAGACCGCAGAAAAG